CACCCCGUUAAGAAGACUCAGGAACAUACCAACAAGAUCCACCUACGUAAGACAAAUACCUUCUCAAUUUUACACUCUCCCGACCUAGUGCACUGUCUCCUUUUAUCGUCAUAGUAACAGAGGGACGCCGGAACACCUCAUCGCCAUGCUGGGCCACUUCAGAAGCGUCACCAGGGCUUGUGGAGCCUUCAGGAGUAAGAUAAAUGUGGCUGCCUCUCCUUCAACCUCCCUCAGAGCCUUAGGCACUUCAAGUCACCUCCAGUCACUAAAUGCUGCCGAGGAAACUGACUCCCCUGAACGUGGCCCCUGUACCUCGAUGCCCAGUCCACCACACCGCUAGAUCCUCGUGUGCUGGAUGCAAUGCUGCCUUACCUCACCCACCAGUAUGGCAACCCACACUCCCGCACACACAGUUACGGAUGGGAGAGUGAGCGUGCUGUGGAGACCGCCAGGCAGCAAGUUGCAGACCUUAUCGGGGCGGACAAGAAGGAAAUUAUCUUCACAUCAGGCGCCACAGAGAGCAACAACAUCAGUGUGAAGGGCGUGGCGAGGUUUUACAAGUCAAAGAAGAGGCAUGUCAUCACCACACAGACAGAGCACAAGUGUGUCCUGGACUCCUGCCGUGCCCUGGAGAACGAGGGGUGGGAGGUGACUUACUUGCCGGUGGAUAAGUCGGGUCGCAUCUCAGUGGAGGAGCUGGAGAAGGCACUGCGUCCUGACACGGCUCUCGUCUCGGUCAUGACUGUUAAUAAUGAGAUAGGAAUUAUUCAGCCUAUCAAAGAAAUAGGAGAAGUCUGUCGAGCACACAAGGUCUUCUUCCACACUGAUGCAGCGCAAGCAGUUGGGAAGAUACCUGUUAAUGUCCAUGACCUCAAUGUUGACCUCAUGUCCAUCAGCGGUCACAAGAUCUAUGGUCCAAAGGGCAUUGGGUGUCUAUACGUGCGUCGCCGGCCCAGAGUGCGUGUGGAGGCUCUCAUGAGUGGUGGUGGGCAGGAGCGAGGCAUGAGGUCAGGCACGGUUCCUACCCCCCUGGUGGUGGGUCUCGGGGCAGCCUGCAACAUUGCCCUGCAGGAAAUGGAAUAUGACCACGCCUGGGUUUCUAAGCUCUCCAAUAUGCUGGUGGACUCUAUCACAUCUCGUGCCUCUCAUAUUAUCAGGAAUGGUGACCCAGACCAUUCCUAUCCUGGCUGUGUGAAUCUCUCUUUUGCCUAUGUGGAGGGUGAAAGUUUACUGAUGGCCCUGAAGGAUGUGGCACUCUCGUCUGGGUCAGCCUGCACUAGUGCGUCCCUUGAGCCCUCCUAUGUCCUGAGAGCAAUAGGUGCUGAGGAGGACCUGGCCCACUCCUCCAUCAGGUUUGGGCUUGGAAGGUUCACCACAAUGGAUGAAGUGAAGUACACAGCUGACAAGUGUGUUCAGCAUGUCAGCAGGCUGAGAGAGAUGAGUCCCCUCUGGGAGAUGGUGCAGGAAGGCAUUGAUCUGAAGAGCAUCCAGUGGUCCCAGCAUUGAGUUCUGACAGCUAAGUGUAUGGGGCGAAAUCAAGGAACCGCCCGGGGACAUCAGGACACUCUUCACUUUGUGUUUGUAUUGUAAUGUUGAGCGUCGCGAAUCCCAGCGAAAGGCUCUUGUUCCUCAGAUUUCCUCCCACUGUGUUCUUGGUUUGUACUGUAACCAUGGAGAAGCCACGAGCGAUGGUGAGGCAAGGCGCUGCUGUACAUACACAACCUGAGCGCCAGGCUCCUGCUCCUCCAAACACUGCUCUCAACCCACUACAAAGACAGAGUGACAUGUGAUCAUGUGAUUGCCUUUUCAAAGUGGUUCAAACUGAACUCAAAUUGUCGACUAAUUGCCUCGGAAUUCUGUUCUUUUGAAGGCCAAAGCAGUGUUUUUUGUAUUAUAACUACAUCUUAAUUUUCUUGAUCAGUUACAAGGUUAAGUGCACCAUGUAGCUGAGUGCUGGUGACCCAAAGACAAAGAAAAUUGUAUAGAAAUAUAUUAGCUAUUGAUAAAAGUUUAAAGAAAUAAUUAUUGUUUGGAAGAAUCUCUGUAAUACCAUACUUAAGAACUUCAGACCUAUUUUGGGGGAAUUAUUGAAAAAUCCAUGAAAAUUACCAGAAACUGAUGUUUGGAGCUGUACAUAUUUACACGGUGGAACCAGGAGGCUGGCCGUAAAGCUAUGAGAUAAUUGACAACUGACAUGACGGUGCCUGGAGAAACUAACACAACACAGUGGAGUGGUGACAUGGACGGAGGGAGCAACAUAAGUCGGGUUGGGUAGCCAAAACAAACUGACAAAAUUUCCUUUGGCAACUGCCUGGCUAUAGAGUAUCUUCUGUCAUGUAUCAUGUCUGUCCUGCACACCUCCCUCAAGCUGUUAUUGUCUGGGAGGGGCUCUCCAACAUAGUCAAAUAUUUAUACAUUUACCAUAUUAUACUAUAUUUGAGAGGCUGUGUUCUCAGAGUGCCUUCCCAGCACAGCUUGGGCAGGGAACAUCAGAACAGCCAAUGCAAGACUUGCUACACCAGGGACUGAAACAUUUCAUCUGGAGGACUGUUGCACUGGAGAAAAAUUUCAUUUCAUGUUUGUGCUCAAAGAAAGGAGUUAAAUGCAGUUAUUUGAUAUGAACAUACCAAGCAAUGCAAGACAGAGUCCAGGAAAUACUGAUAAAUAUUACUCACAACCAAAUCAUGACAUAAAGGAUUACAUUGUGUUGUUACGGCAAACGUUGUCAUUCCCACGGCUGGCUGAUGCGUCACGUUCAGCUUAAGCAACUUGAGUUACCAGGAAUACUGAUUAACUUUCCUGAAGUCCAUGUAAUCCAUGUAUUAAGUCUAACCUUUCUGUAUGCAAUGUCCAUGCGAAAGUCAAAUGCUGGGUUGUAUUGUCUGCUGGCAGCAUGACAAGAAAUCAAAAUGCAGCUCAGUGUUUCUCUAUACAGUCAAGUCUCCUCAGCUGGACUCACUGAUAUACAGGCAUGAGUUCUACAGUAGUGGCAGUGAUGCUGGCUGCUGCAGCACACACAUAGUAGCUGCAUGCACCAGCCACCCAGCAGACACCAGCAGCACAACAACCUGCCACGUUCACAAAUGGAGAUACUGUCUACCACACAAAAUACUGAGAUUCGUCAAUCAAGAAAUAUGCUGAUCGAGGCGCUGAGGAAUUUGCCCUGCAGAGAGUGGAGACUUCACUGUAUAGCCCUAAUAACCCUAGCUUGAUGGAGUACAUCAAUGAAAGCUGCCACACUAGAUGGAAAGAGAUGUAUUAUGCUUAUAGGAAUUGCACUUUUAAACGCCACUGACUUGCAGAUCACUGUACUGGGAGGAGGUUCUCAGUGGCCGGCUCACCACAGGACACCUCACCCAUCGUCAUCUCCCCACUGAUCACUCUACGUCCAAUAAUUCGUUCAUUUAAACUACAUCAUUCACGUAUUCAAACAAUAUACUUUUAUGAUACAACAACUUAACAGCCAAUUGACAUAAAGGAGAAAGAGACAGGAUGAGGAUAGAGGGAUUCUGGGUGAAGCUCUCUGUAUUAUACCCUCCAAGGCUGCCCUGCAUUAUACCACACACAUGCACACACACUCACGCACUCGCAUUCCUCAUGCCAGCUGGAGCAGUCCUACACUUUGCUGGGUUCUCAUGAAGUUGAUCAGUAGCUACAAUGCAUUUAUCAGUUAUCAUCUUCACCUACAUGCAGGUGUUGAAUGUAGAAUGUAAGCACACAGGCAUUCUUUCAUUAGUGCUGUACUGAUCAAGAAACAAAGGGAUUUUGGCACUCCAACUGAAAUAAAUAGUUCUUUGUUGCCUAGCAUGUAAUGGAUUGCAUUCCUUGUGCUCAAUUCUUCAUUAUAGGUGAGUGAUGCGUUUUGCAAUGCUCAGAAAACAAGACAGUCUCACAAGGGAAGGAUUGUCUGUCUCUCCUGUGCCACCAUUCCUGUCUCUCUGGAAUGCUGGAGGAGAGAGGGGUCAACUUAUUCCCAAAUACAACUCAAUUCCAAUAACACUCAUAAUUUUGUAUAACUAAAUGCAACUGAAUUAUCUCAAAUUACUUAUCCCACUUAUAAACCAAACACUAAGUUCCCUAAAGUUCUUGGCAAACUUGAGGGAAGAAUUACCUAUUUGUAAAAAAGUUUUAAGAAUCCUCACAUUUUCCUUCAAGUAAAGCCUAGAACUUGUAAAAUUCUAAGACCUUAAAACCUUCAUAUAAAUCAUACUACACACAAAACUCUUUCAAAUUAUAGCUUUUUAAUAAUAUCCUACUGGGAAUCUGGUUAAAGCAUCAAACUCUUUUUGUAAAGUCCUACUAAGGAGAAUUGAAAUGAAACUAUUAAACUCCUUCGUGUGACACCCUACCAAGAACAAUUUAAGCAUUGAACCUCUUUCAUAAUGCCAUACAAAGGAGAAUUUCAUUUAAAGCAUCAAGAUCACAAGUAAGCCACCUCAGAACUGGCAACACUGGCAUGCCCUAGUGAUCUGGUCGGCCGGCAGUAGCAGUGGGACCAGCAGACACCUUUCCUGCACCCUCAGGGGAAAGUGUCCUGGCUACAACUUGGUCAGUAGAGAAACGGAGGGAGGGAAACAGGUCUGCCGAGUGUGCCUUGAAGGGUGUCCACUCCUGGGUUGUGUUGUGACCACCCCAGGCUUUACUCCUCCUCUGAAUCCCCAUCACUGGAGUAGCCCUGAGUGGGUAUUGGCCGGUGGUACGGUGCACACUCCAUUUGUCUGCAAGAGUGUAAACAAGUUGCUGGAGGGACAAAGCAAAUCUGGAGGGCUGUUGUGUUUGGAGAGAAGCAAGACAACCAGUGGGAAGGAGAUGGAAAGAUUUAGUACAUUAGGGCAGCUGUGAAAUGUGUUAAUUUUGUUUGGUUAUGUUAAUUGUGGUGAUAAUUAGUGAUUGAAGUUUAGCUAAUGAGUGCUUUAUGAGUAAAUAUUUGUGUGAAGCUUAGUUUGCAUCAUGAAUGACAGUGCAUUUUAAACAGUGCCACCUUUAUGGGUUACUUGGUGCAGUGAAUUGUGUUCUCUGUUUACAUUCUGGACUUGCUCUUUUGUGGUGCAGUGUUCAGUGUGAGUGGUGGUCACAGUUAGAGUCCAGCACACGUAGGUGGUGGUGAUAAUUACAGACCAGCUGUGGCCGUGUGGCCAGUGCAUGGCCAUGUCAGUGCCAGUGCCGGUGCAGCACCCCGGCCACACACUUCACCCUCUUCCAGCACAACAAUAACCAAACAGGAAGACAGGAAGAUUAAAAAUAAUACAUGUUAGCUGAAUGUUUAAUCGAUUUCUAAAACAAACUUAUAGCUAAUAAAUCAACAUUUAUAUAAAUAAAUUCUUGAUAUAAUUAUAUAUAUAUAUAUAUAUAUAUAUAUAUAUAUAUAUAUAUAUAUAUAUAUAUAUAUAUAUAUAUAUAUAUAUAUAUAUAUAUACUGUAAGCAUAGAUGCUACAGAUGAAUCUUCUACUCAAGAAGGAUUAGCAAGUAGUAUAAGGCAAUUGCUUUGUUAAAUAAAAUAAACUUCAUGAUAGUCAAAGUUAUGAAACUUUUCUGUGAGAAAGAAAGUUAAUACAGUGAUUUGAAGGAGGCACGAGGCCCAAGCUAUGUACAGAACACCACGGCAGCGGCGAUAGUGCCGGCUGGCAGGGACCAGGGCGGCCAGACUUACGCAAGCCUCCUGUAGUGGUUGAGCCACUCCUCUGUCAUCUGGGCCACGGCCAGCGGCUUCUUGGUGAGUCGCUGCUGAGCCACCAGCACGCCGCCCUCACUCACACACACCUCCAGCCACUGCCGCAGCAACGACUCCUCACACCCAACCUGCAGCCACACCACCACUCAUUACUGCACCUGCACUCCAUCUAACUCCACUCCUGCUUCUUCCUGGCCAUGCUCACCACAUCACAUGACAUGGCAACACCACCUCCACACUUGACCUGUGGCACUGGCACCUGGUUGACUCCUGCCAUCCUGACCUGCUACUCAGCCACUGCACUGCACUAGUCAUGCAGAGAGAAGAAAAAAACUCAAAGAACUCCAAAGUCCCCAUUGGAAGCAGGCAAUUCAUCUAGUCACUGAGGGGCUGAAGGUUUCCAACAAACAACACCAGUGACAUCAACUCAAAGAGCUCUGAAGGAGGCUGAGGUAGGGAUGUACACACACACACACACACACACACACACACACACACACACACACACACUCUCACUCUCUCUCUCUCUCUGACCCACAGUAUGUUGACAAACCAACAAACCAAAAUCACUCCCUACAUACAUAUAAACACUUCCACUCUCACCUUCCCUCCAUACAUCACCCACUAGAGCAGGGGUUCCCACACCAAAUAACAAUAAACAUCCAAGCCAAGAAUUCCUAAACUAGCUUCAAGUAUGCAAUUCCAUCCAUCCCACUGAUGUUCUUGACAUCUUUGGUAAUAGUCAUUAGAGAUACACAAUUUUCAAAUACAAUAAAUAAAAGAAAAUCUCUAGUGUUUUAAUUUAGCCAUAUAUAUCAAUAAUAACAACAUUUUGUGAAAGGGGUAACAUGCUUUAUGUGGCAUGUUAAAUUGGGUAACAAGCUGAAAGUUUGGGAACCACUGCACUAGAGUUUAUCAACACAUACAAACCCCUUUUUUGAUUUCAUCCUUCACUCAAGCCAUCAACAGCAGUAGCUUAUAGACAGUCACACACCACCCACCACAUGCCACCUACCUCAGCCUGAGUGACAAAGUGAACAGGCAGGAGUUUGGCGUCGUGAGUCAUCAAGGGAAGGAACACCACCUGCGACUCCCCAGAAUCCAAAAUUGCUCCUGUAAAUAGUGGUGAUGAGUUGGUGUGUCUGGCUCAACAAUAAACAUACUUCUUGGUCACUUA
rnacentral:misc_RNA from 1 species